rnacentral:lncRNA from 1 species
UGGAGUUGCAUACUUGGGGCCAGAAAAGAAGACAAUCGAACCGUGCACACUGUGACAAACAACACACACACAUCCAAGUGGAAUAUUAGCUACUGUGAAUACGUAUAUCUCUAUAAAAAAAUCUUUUUGUAUAACUCAUCAUUAUACAGUGUUUUUAAGUCUGCUAUUGCCAACAAAUAUUUGAAUCUGAUUGGUCAAAAUCCAAUACCUACAGAAGCAAUGCCAGAGACAACCUUUCAAAUCAACACAUCUGCCUGUUGAAACUGAGGCAAAAUGUUAGUUUCUGUCUCAGGCUGAUCUCGAGUCAGGAAAUAAUGAUGUGAGAACAGCAUGAGGAUCUUCUGGACUUUAAUCAUAAUUUAAUCUGACAGGAAAAAGUGGAAGCAAGAUCUUGUCCUGCAAUCUAGACAAAGCUGAGUUCAGCACCUCUAUCUUGCUAAUCAAUACAAAGUCACUUUAAACCAUAAGCUGUAGUUGUAAUAACAGAAGUUUUAAAUUGCGACAAUAACCUAUAUUUAAAGGGUGUGAACUGCAAAGCCCUGAGAAGAAGGAAAGCUGGGUGAUGACAAGAUGAACGAACAAGUUGCAACAAGUUUUUGUGUUGGGUGAGUGACUGUGUGAAAUACUAGAGUUGGACAGAUUUGUUGUUAUGCACAGAGCUGGCCCAAGGCAUAAGCGAACUAAGCGCCUGCGAAUAUAUAUAUAUAUGUAUAUAUAUAUAUAGUGCAAGUUUGACUGAUACUUUCUGUAUGAUCAAAUAUAUUAUAGUGCAGCUGCUGAUGACCUCAAGUGAUGGCGAAUGGGUACUCCUUUUGCUUUCUCAAAAGAAAAAGAAACGUAGCACAUGGGUGUAUCCAAUAUUACAAAAAAGAAAAGAACUCGGUGAAAGUUGGACAAUUUGAAGUUCUGCUGAAACGAUCAGCUCCAAGUUUGAAGAGGCAGAGGACUAGACACUAGACACAAGUGUUGAGAUGGUUUUCUGUCAUGAUAGCAUGUACUGAGUCUGGGCCAGUACCUGAUAAGCACAUGAAACUAUGGUAACAACCGUUAGCUUACGCUAGAUGAAAGUUAAAACAAAGACUUUUAGCAAACUGUUAAAGCACAUAAACCAUCGUCAGAUGAGAGGUCUGACGCUAUGACUCUCCACAAGUUGUCCCUCAGGUCGUUAUCUUUGUAAUGUUUGCGUCUUUUAUCAAAAGCACUGUGUUCUCCAACACACUAAACAAUCGGAUGAUCGGCCAUAUUGGAUAUACCGGUGAAUCAGACGUCGCAACAUCACGCAGUCUGAUUAGUCAGAAGUAGACACACAUUAUGCGAAACUUUAGAAAAAUUGGACAUGAUCCGAAAAAAUAAAUGCCGCAAUAUCACAGGACGGGAAAAUGUCUCUGAUGUGAACACUUGUAUUGACAGGAAACAGGUUUGAGUAAACAAAAUUGACAUCCGAAAUAAUCGCUCAACAAAAACGGUCCCGGUGUGAAAGGACCUUUAGAAUCUGACAGGGUGAGCAGAACUCCGACAAAAACGGUGCCAUUCUUCCUGAUAAUUUUCUAGACAUCUCACUAAAGGGUGUGAAUUAGUCCGACUGAAUGACAGCUCUGCUAUGCUGGUAAGACUCUUAUUUUAAAUUUAAAUCUUGACAUCACUUCUUAAGUAGAUAAAUUAAAUCAAAUUUACUGUAAAUUCAGAGUAACGUACAGACAUGUUUCUCAAAGUUGAAAAAUAUCAUCCUGCAGUCUUCACUUUUUAAAGUUGGUAAAGCCUGAAGGAAAAUCAGCGAACGUGUUGAUUGACUGAAAUGAUAUUCGAAGCUUCAAAUGAAUAGAUCUGUGUGUUGCAAUAUUCAAUAUUAGAUCACGAGAUUUUUUUUUCCUCUCCAGCAAUAACAGCUUCUACAACAAUUAGUCAUGCAGCCGCUUCCUCAGCAUUCAACACCUAAUGGAGACUGCUCCAUAUGUGAGACAUUUCGUUAACUGAUACCAGCAGGUGAAACGCCAUUCUGGUCUUCCGGAGCUGUAAAGGGAAUAUAGCUUCUAGGCUUUUUAAAGGUAUCAUAUUGCCAUUUGAAUCAUGCAGGAGAGAGAUCGGUGAGUAUUACAAGCUGUUUGCAACAGAUUUAAAGAAUUAUAUAUUUAUUUCCUUCCAAUCCAUUAUUAAUUUCGACAUCCGUCAGAUGUCUGGGAGAGUCAACAGCGAGAACAGAGGGCUCUAAGAGACAUUCAUUUUCAGGCAGAACAUGUCCAGAAAUUUUAAUUCACUCUCAGUGCCCUUUAUGGUGAUAACAGCAGAAUUUAGUCUCCAUUCAAAGCAAGAAAAUACUAAUUAUUUCUUAAUUGUGUACUUGAACGCUGUCCCCAAGGAAGGGCACUGACAUUCAAAGUGUGGGGAAAAGAAAAACUAAUAAACAGCCUGACUUUGCUGCUGUGCCAAGCCUAGUUUACAUCCCUCACUCUGACAACACAUGUGUUACAGUAAAGGCUACAGGGGGCCCAAUCAACCCCUUGACUGAUCGCUUAAUUGCCCAGAAUCCCUCAACUGAACCCCGUUGACUGACCCAUGUCGCCCAAGGGAUUGUGGGACUUGUGUCAACAUUUCCCCAUGCCAUCACAUUCAAUCCCUCUUUCUGGUACUCUUCUACAGAGCGUGAAGCAUGAGAUUGGAUUUACAGCGUAAUGGAAUAAAGCACAUUGUUUCUCAUCAGCGAGAGAGGAGGAUAGAGCCGAUAAAGCCUUCCAGCCUGGGAAGUUGAUCAGAAGCUGCGCAUACAAGAUGGAAGAAUUGUGUUUUUCUUGGCCUCUUGUUAACUUUUACUUCCUCCAAAAAACAGAGCAACUUUUGAGUUCCUGGAUGCUGUUGGUAUUGAUUUGCUCUGCUGUCUUACACUGCGUUUUGGAGGUAGAGUAGGAGUGAAUAAAAGAGGUCAUCAUCAGGAGAUCAAAGGCAGGGAUGUGACAGGUGCGGUGUUUCCUCCAUGAAGCUUUUUGUGCAAUUUGUAUCGAAAUAGACGUGAUGAAACUCAGACUCCGCGGUUCAAGUCAUUGUUGUGGCAGCUGUGAUGAAGAUUACUUGUCCUUCUUGGCAUUUACGCCAUCCAAAUGCGAAACUUAUUCAGGAGGAAUAAAAUUAUCUGCUUUCCUUUCAGAUCUACAGUAUGUCCAUUUUUCUCUUUGACUUCUACCCUUUAUUUCACUUCACUGACUUACAAUGACUGAAUAGAGGGCCAUUAUCAGUUAAUUAACUCUUAUCUGCUCUACUGUUACAAUAACACUUUCCUGUGACACACUGAAACAUAAUCUGCUUAAGUCACAAUGUCUCUGAAACCAUCCCUUACCCCAACUUUAUUUUCGUUCCAUAUGCAGGAGGUAAAAGCAGAGAGGAGAACUAUUUGUUCGGAUUGAAUCAAUGAGAGUGGAAGGUCAGGCCGGAUGUAAUUAGUCAGAAUCCUAAUGACUUCUUUUGGAAAUUGUCGCCGCCAGUCUGUCGCUCGAUUUAUGCUCUUGACUUUUCAGUUGCUCUUUAUCAGUGUGAUACUGCACAACUUAAUCACUAUCUUGUUAUAGUGUACAGCAUUGAGUUGGAGGCUGUAGAUGCCACAGUGUGGGAAUUACGUCAUUAUUACAAUUGGAAUUAGCAUUUGAAUACAUUUUAAUUGCAUUGUGAUGGGCCGGGCUUCUGUUCAUACCACUGUAAUGAGACAAAGAGGGGGCAGAGACUUUCACCUGGUUCUCUGUGGCAAAGCAUAAAAUAUAACCUUUGUGAAAAUGAGAAACAGGGGAAGAGGUUACAUAUCUAAACAGAGGACACUGACUUCACUCACUCCAAGAACUGAGAGUUUCCAGCAGCUUUAAAACAGCUAUUAACUUGUUUCAUGAGUGUGAAAUCACUCACUGUUCAGCCUCACAAGACCACAGACUUGAGUAGAUAGAAUAGAGAGAGCAAAGAAAGGACAAACUUUACUUUCCAUUGACAACCCACAGGAAGUAUAUCAAUGGACAGGCUCAUUGGCAGUACCUUUUUCUUUAAUAUCUCUUUUUUUGGGGGGCUUUACAGAUGAGGAUCUGUCAGAUGAGGCUGGUUAUACAGAUACUUCUGGUGUAGAUUGAUACCUAAAAACUUACCAGCCUCUUACACAUUGCAGUUCUGCAUCAGUGCUGGAAUAGCUCAGUUUGGGGAUUGAUUUUCUCUUCUGUGUUUUAUGGCUCAAAGUGAAACUGGCCAAAGUUCUGUGCAUACUCGAGUUUGCACACCUUAAAAGUGUGUUGUUGGACCACCAUGAGUGAAUUUUCGAGUCUUUUUCCUAAACCUUUACUGUAGAAGGUCAAUAAUUUAACAUGCAGUAGUAAUAAUUCCAGGUAUUCAAAUGCUGUAGCGUCGCACAUGCACAGUUAGAUGUCAGCUGUUAUCAACAGUCUUCGCAAGGAUGGUGUUUCUGAUCACGUCAGCAUGAAAUUUGCUAUUUUUAUAAACUUUUAUCAUUAGGAAACCCAGUUUGAUAUGAAAAAUUGCAAAGUUUAGAAUCUGUCUAGAUAUUUGAGACUCAUAGCUUCGUCCGUGUGCAGUCGGAGUUUGAUAUUUUACAAGGAAAGUUUUUCAUAACGUUUGUGACAAAGGGCAAGUUUAGUUGGUGAGAUUGCUUAAUGUCUUUUAAUAUCUGAGAUCUAAGAAAGAGAUGUGCAUGCAAUUUUUAAUUUCCAAAUCUUGCUGAAGGUGGUAUAAAGAAGGUAAGUCUAGAUAUUGACUUUUUUUAAAAAGGCAGCAGAAUGAGACUAAAUUGCAUUGUCUAAACUUUCUAAUUAAGUUUCAACUCUUUAGUCCUCCAGUGAUACAAAACAAGAUUCAUAACAUAAGCACCCCAAAUUCAGCAAGCAGUGCAAAAUUAUCUGGGGCACCUCUGCAUUCAAGCCCGUAAUGUCUGAUACAAUAUUCUAAAUGGAUGAAAAAGGUCGACCAAACAAAGACAGGUGCUGACGAGUCAUGUUUUUUUUUUUCUAUCUCAUAUCUUAUUAGACAGAAUCUCACAUCAGCAGAGUCGGCCAACAUGCCACAUCAAAGGCUGCGUAGGAGUGGACGCGUCGAUCCUAAUUAGUAUGACAGAGUGCUGAUCUGUGUGUGAUCUAAGAACACAGGAAACACACACACAUGUUCAUGAAUAAACCAGCACACCCCAAAACACACACACACACACACACGCACCUUGAGCCCAUCUCAAAUUCCCCACUGUCUUCACAGACAAGUUCCAAGUUUCUUCCUGGCAACAGAAGCAUGAAAAUCUUGGCACGUUAAAACUCAUUAAAAUACAUAGAAGCUGAUGUGUAAAUACACAAACACACAAAGCCCAGCUGUAGUUCUGUGACAUCCCUUCACGCACACAAUCAGCGGAUAUUCUUGGUGAUGGCAGUCUGAGCAAUCUUGGCACAUGAAGCUAAAUUCUGCAUAGUCAAUGAACGGCUCUGACUGCCUGUCAUUUUCAGUGGACUCACACUUCAAGCCUGUUAGUUGUUUUCUCUGAAGGGGCUCCAGUUGCUCAGCAAGAAUAGUUUGGCUCAAACGUCAGGAUUCAAUUAAAAUGUAAAUUCUCACUAAGCUGAUAAACGGGGAACAACAGUGCUCUCAGUUCCUGGGGCGCCAGGCAGGAGGCGUCUUUUAGCAAAAAAAAGUCUUGGAAGUUGUUGUGUUGGACAGCAGGUGAGCAAUGAGGCCCCGCAGGAAAAGGGAAGAAUUAACAUAAGGUUGGAGAUCGGCAGGAUUCAGGCCAUUCAGAAGGAUUGAAAGCCUGGACAAGUAUCCGCAGCUACCUUCACUUCUUCUCUCUUCCUGCGACUCACAUAUCUUCUAUGCAUUGCACAUCUUUGUCUGGCAUACUGACAGCCCCAACAAAAACUCAAUCUGGUCUGCACCUGCAUUUUUGAAGUUUCUCUUCGAACCGUACAAGCAGAGAGGAGUUGUUCGCAGGGAGAAGACACACUUCUACAACUCGUGACAGCUUCAGGAAAAAGUUGCGUCAAAUCCAAUUCCCUGAGGGUCGAAUGCAACACCUUGGAACGCUGAAUCCAGAUAAGAAUGACUUUAUUUUGGCAAGUGGUAAAUAUUUAAAGAGGUUUUCUGCAUCAAUUCUCCGGUGAUUUUUAAAAGAGAAGUUGGUUAUGUAACUAAUACUGGGGGAGGUUUCAGGUUGUCCCAAAGGGAUAACUCAGUACAUUUACAUAACACUCGAGAAAACCGAAAUUAUUGUCUUACUCUGAUUAAGACCGGACAACUAAAGUGCAUGUUAACACCUUAGUCUGGCUAUAAUUGGAGUCAGAGAACUCAAAUUAGGACGCCCAGAUAAUGCGAUUGGAAUUAGAGUUUCUCUACCAUGUAACUAGUGUAGUUGGGAAGAAGUGGCAAGAGGAGUAGCAUGCACCUCAUCUGCAGAAAAAGUAGCGCAUACAUCGUGUACGACAAAAACAACACUGUGUGAUGCUCCGUCUUCUUGCUUAAAAAUGCCCAGCAGCAGUCGUAGCCCCGUCUGAUGUUUGGCACGGACCUGCUGUUGUUGUUGUUGGGUCAACAGGAAACAGCGCUGCUUAAAAGACCCAUAUUGCCCCCUAGUUUUCACAUCAAUAGUUUGAUUUUCUCACCUACAUGUAUACGCAGACAAGGAGAGAAGUCUGAUUCGGCAAAAAAAAAAGAAAAGCAUUAUGAGCUUAGUCCGAUAAAACUGUGCAUGUAAAUACACUUGUUUCAUAAAGGCCAAAGCUGUAAGAGCAACUAAUGUAACAAUAGCUUAAGUAUGCUAAAGGAGCUAACUGCGGAGCUAAUGUGGGCGCUAACACCAUCUCUAACAGAACAAGCUGAGACAUUUUUUGUAAAGGUAUAUGCUGUGUAAAAAGUAACGCCCGAUAACACUAUGACUUUAUAUGACUGGAACAAAGAAGUAGAUGAAAAGUGCUGGAAUAAAGAUGAAAGUAAAAUUUUUUGAGCUGUAAAUUAUGCAAAAGUCUGGCGCUCCAGACUGAUGUAAUGAGAGGCGAAAAUGAGUGCAACAGGUCUCUUUCAAGGUUUAAAGUCAGGGCUGGCUCAGGCAUGACUUGGACUCAUCCUCUAAGGUAACCUACAAUACUUCCAUAGCUAUCCCCAGCCCUCCUUUUAAAGCAUUUUUUCCCUCACUGAUUUGGUGGACUUAUCUUUUAAAACAAUAUCUUGACAGUUCAGUGUCAUGAGGUAGCUUUUGUUGUAAUUUAUCAGCAUUUAAUGACAAAUUAUUGUGAGUGCAGCAACAUCAGAUUUAAACACCCGCUUGUCGGCACUGUAGGUGCUCUUUCUUCAUCUCUGACAUUCAGACAUCCCCACUUAUCCUGUCAUCACAUGGGCACAAGAGCAGACCUGUCCCUGCCCUCUAGAUUACAUCUGUAGUGUCAGGCCAAGGAGAGAUGAUGUACCUGCUUAUCAAAUAGCAGGUACUUGAUGGUGAUGGAGGCCUGUACAGGCGAAAGUUUGAAAACACCACACACACUUAGCAGCAAAUAUGAGCUUAUGAAAAACACUUAGUGCAACAGUCAGUGCUUCUGAUAAUAAUCUUUGUUUUUUAGAUACUGUUUGAGAAACCCGUUAAGCUGUAUGCACUUUAAAGCUCCUGUGAAGAACUUUUACUCUUUAAAGCUCCUGUGAGGAAUAUGCAGUUUUUGUCAAUUUUGGCGCCGGCUUUGGACAGAGCAACCUUUGCGUAUCUUGUCCUCCACUUGGCAGUGCCUCUUUACAAAAAACCUGAUCCUGCUGACUGUCAAAUGUGUCAUUCAUUGUAAAUUUCAUGUUUCUUUAUCUGCUCCACUGACACCUACCCCCUAACACCAGUUACAGGAUCAAAAAUUAGGGUAUAGAAAGGGUCAGUCUUGUUGCUGAUGGUCUUGAUUGCUUGUAAAUAUCACGAAACAGCAUCAAUAUAAAUUUCGUUUUUUUUCAUGGAUGUCAAAAAAUUCCUCAUGGGAGAUUAAGUCAUGAAAAAACACUGUACAAGCAGCAUGCAGUUUAUCACCUACCCCAACCCACAGUGAAAAGAACAAUUCAGAAAAAUUGUUCUUUGUUCUUGAUGGUCUUCUUUUGAAUUUCAAAGGUCAUGAAGAGGUGUGGAUAUCAGCAACAGUUUGUUUUGGAUCUUGAAGUAUCAGAAGACAGAUUGCUGUUUGUGAAGUUAUAUGUUCACAUAUAAUAUGAGGUAAUGAGUUACUGCUACACUGCAUCAACAGCCUCAUAUUAUUCCAUACAUUAUACAGUUAUAGCCCAUUAAAUGGAGCUACUUUUAUGCCUUUUUACUAUUUGUAAAGGCAGGUACUAUGCUCAAGUAGUCCAGAGCCUUGUUGUUGAGUCCCCUUUAUACAUUUAAGGAGCUUUGAGAUUAUUGAUAAAAUAUUUCUCAUGUUUUAUUGAUUCCUUUUUGUUUCUCUUACCUCUCUACACCACCUGAUUUAAGUGAAACCAUUUUGGAGGUUUCCUGGAGCAGUGAUUUGUUGGUGGAACAUUAAUUAAGUGAGUGUGAAACAAUUGCAGAGUGAUGAAAAAAACCGUGCACAGCCCAAAAAGUGAGAAACGGCGAACUCCAUCUAUAAAGACCAACUUAAAUACAUGUUAAAAUCUUAAAUUAUUUAAAAACCUGUGUAUACAACUCUUAUAAAUGAAUAAUUUGUGAAUAAAUUCCCUCAUGGUUACAUCAAGCGUCUAUUGAAAUCUUUUAUGCACAUAAAAGCAGAUGUGUAUGCACAUAGCCUUGGCCCUAUAUCUCUGAAGACUCUAACUGCCUUCACACUCACGCUCUGAUGGCAGAGACCACUACAGUACAAAAUCAUCAGCUUCGACGUAUUCCCUUCAUACAUAUUCACUGAUUAUGCCAUUGUGAGCAAGUUGGGGUCUUGACAAGGACAAUCUGGCGCUGACUGUGGGUGCUGGGAUAGAAACAUCAAUCCUCUGAUUGAAGAGACAACCCACUGUAUAACUGAGCCACAGCCGCCUGAUGUUCAAAGUGUCAAUAUUAAAACUGCCUGCCUGUGUGCCGUUGAAAAUUUGGAAAAGCUGUAUCUCUGUACGGGUUAUUAUAAAAAGUGAUGCUUUAUUAGUCUUGGCAAAAAACUGGAAGUUGGGCAAAAGAGGCAAGUAAUGUCUUCAUGCUUAAUGAACUGUAUUUUAGCAGUUAGCAGGUGUGUGUCUACAAUUAAUUGACUGGGGUGGCCCAACUGGAGAACCAUCUUAGAAAGGAGUGGUAUGAACAAAAAGCACUUAUCUGAUGCCUGAUAUCUGUGCGAGAGGGUAGAUGUUGGCAAAGUGGCUGGUGAAAAAAGUUUGUUUUUGCAUUUCCACACAGGUAAUUCACAAUAAAUGACAAAUUUGAGUGUCCAAGUCCACCGGGGGGCGCCCAAACUGACGUAAACUGAAAGUUCCCAACAGGAGCUUCAAAAUACAAAAUAGCCAGAAGUACCAACACAGCCUAAAUAGUUUUCCAAUUUCCAUCUCUGACAAAGCAAACAGCAUAGUUUGAAUCAUGGUAUGGCCCUAUGGGUUGACCAAUCAGAUUUCCAGGGCGGUUAUGGCGGCCCCACCCCUCUGAACAUGUCCCUGACUGUAAAAACAUACUUUCAGUAUUAGUUAACUGUAUUCGCCUGAAGUAACAUACAGAGUCGAGGGCGCUCAAACGGAGGAAUGAAGAAAUCUGUCAGCGGUUUAAUGACCUGUGAAACUCAUUAAUGGUCCCUCUGUUGUGGGUUAUGCCAGCUAUACCCUACUUGCACGAGAAUGUAAUAUGAAUAUUUUACUAUGUAAAAAUUUAAACAGCAUGGAAUAAUGCUUUUGGUCACACUUGAUGGUUAUGUUCAAUAAUUUUGAGGUGGCGAAAUAGCAACAGAAUCAUUUUCGACACCUUAUCCAUCCUCACCCAUGACAGGAAUGUGCCUUCCUGCUGGAUUUAAAAGGUGGGGCGUUUUUCUACACCAGCAUGUGCAUACCACCCUCUAAAUGCACGUUAUCUGAUAGGUACUGCACCAAUAUGAGAGGCUUGAGAGUGUAAUACAUCUUUGACAAGACAACAGAGGGUAAUUGAGCUGUCACUUCUGUGUCUCAGACGACCUCGAGGACCUCAAUAAUCUUGGGCGGGGUUCAGUGAACAUCCUUGAGGAGAGCACCGUGUGUUGUAUCUAUUAUACAGCUGUUUAUAAAGAGAUAUAAUGAUUAGUGAAGCUGCAAGCAUGAUGGAUAGUUGCAGGUUUCUCAAAAUGCAAAUACUUCACCAGAAAGCAUCAAUUACUCAAUGCAAAAAUGAGUGUACUGCAUACAAGAGUGACUAACAGGCUGCACUGUAUUUACCACUGACACAAGAUAAAGUCAUAUUUAAAUGCAUGAGUCAAUAUACAUUGUAUAAAGGCUGCAUUCUUGAUAAAUUGCCCUCUUUUCAAUGUGUAAAGUGGUCUAUGUAUAACUGCCACAGAGCAAUAAAUAAAGUCUUAGUGAUAAAGCACAAGUGUAAUCUAACAUACUAAUUCCUUACUUUAGCGCCUGUUUUUCACCAUUAAUAAUAUCAUUAUAAUUACAUCCUUUAUGUGAGCUCCAGAUCUAUUUUUCAUGAGUACCUUAUAUUUUAAUUGCCUCUCAAAUCACCAUUUAUCAGAUGUAUCUCACAUAUGCAGUAUUUUGCACAGGUCUAUAAUCAAGUGCAUUGUGAAUAGUUCCAGCUCGCCUCAUUUGUAUGCAGUGUUGUACCAGCAGAGACGCUCAGAUAUGAAAAAUGAAUGUCCUUGAGUAUCUACUCAGCUAUACAUUCUGCAGCAGGGUUGUUUGAUUGAUCCUGAUGGAGCCCAAUUAUUUUUCUCAUCUAAAGUACGAAGCUCUGGAACAAAUGUCAAUACAUUUUCUGUCCCAAAAAGAGUGUUUUAAAAGACAUCUACAGACACCGGGGUGACAACUAGCAGUUUGGCUGGUGUGGACUUGGACUGCAACAGGUGCAGGCUGCUCAGAAACGUGGGGGAUGAAGCGAUCGUUGGUGCAACACUGCUCUCUAGUGGCGAAUAAGAGUUUUAGUUUUUCUAUCAAAUGUGUCCCAAAACACAAACUAAACAAUCAUAUUAGUAUUUUAAUCACUUUUGACAGCGCUAACCAUCUGCUGUGUUCCGACUGGCUGCAAUAACGUAAAUUCCAAACAGGACUUCAACGGAUAUUGGAGAUGAGGACUACAUCUGCAUGACUAACAGGACCAGCUGAGAGCAGAAACCCAUCAUAACCGGGUCAAAUUCAUCCACUUAAAAAUGUUUUUGAAAAACGCUGUGGCUCCU